rnacentral:lncRNA from 1 species
AAAAAGAAACCAAUUAAUAAUGAAUAUCCUCUUGGAGAAGAGAAAAACAAACAAAGAAAGGAAAGAUUCUUAUGAACAGCACACCAAUUUAAGGAGGGCACGCGCACACGAUUUCACAGAAAUAUAAAACAAUCCAAGGAAAUGAGAGGGAUCGUCGAUGUCUUCCAUGGGAAUAGAGUCACUAUCUUGUUGAGCUAGUGCUUCUUUUACUGCAUCCUCAUCUAUUUCAGAGCGAAUACGAUGAGUGCAAGUCUCUCUAUUCCUCAGACAAGAACUCAAUUAGUCUGGGUAUUUCAUUCUCACGGAUGUUUCUGUGGUAUUAAUCUUCAGUCAACAUGCUUCAAAAUUAUAAUUAAUUUCUCCUGAAAAUUUAAAUGCGUUUAAGUCUCCUCUCUUUGCAAACCUCGUAAAGAUUUUCUUGUCCCUUGCUUUGAAUUCGAUUAAUACAAGACGUCGACAAGGGAGAUAUAACCAAUUUCAAACCCGUUUCAUAAUUAGCAAGCCUUAAUCAAAGGCUUAGAAUUCGCCAUUGCAUGGAUUUCAGAAAGAGCAAACGUGGUUUUAAUUUUAUAUAUAUAAUCUAUAAUCCUCACCUGCAGGAACUAAAAUUAGCUUUUAAAAGUUCAUGCAUGGCAAAAACCUAAGGUGCCAAAAAUAAUUGCCCCACCAUAGCAAUAGCAAUGUGAAUGUUAUUCCAUUCUUCUACUGUAAAAAUUAGUUUGAGAUUUUAUAUAUUUUUAUUAACACAUGAUAUUUAUUAUAGUUUAUUAUAAGUAUUGAUCUUUUUUAUUUAUAAUUAUACUUUUUAAUUACUCGAUGUCAAAAAACACGUUAAUAACACCUAUACAUUAGUUUUUUUAUAUUAGAAAAGAAAAUUAUUUAACCUGCAGUAAGGCAAGUUGAUUAAACAUGAUAAAAUUUUGUUUUUUAUAUUUAUUAAUCUAAAAGUUCUUAAUAUAUAUUAAUUAAGUGAAUAGGCUUAGUUGAAUAAACCUAGGUGGUUUGUGAGUCAAUCAUAUGCUAUUAUUUAAAAUAUGGAGAUACCCGUAGUUCUUUUGCCCCAUACCUAGUAGCUACUGAGUAGGCUUCUACAGCCCAAUCUCAUAAUAAGCAAAUAGGGUAGACACAUCGUAGAAGAAAGGCUAGGAACAGAGAAAGAGCUGGUACUUUCUCUGGGAACUCUCUUCUUAUUUAAUUUAAGGCUCAUGGCUUCCUUGGAUGCUCUAUGGAGGGAUAUAAGACUUCUCUAUCUCCGUCUUCCUGAUUCCUGUUGAUUUCAUGUCUUGUCGGCAUUACCACAUUUGGAGUAAGAAAAGUAGGGGAGGUUUUCUUGUUCAAGCUGCGUUGGUCUUCUCUUUAAUAGCAUAGAUAGGUAGAAGAUAAAAAAGAAAAGAAUCUGGUUCUAGGAGCCUAGCUGCUAUAGUAUAGAAUCAUCAUCUUACUCUUUACCGGCAAGCAACCAAGGAGGAUGCCUAACCCAGCACAGGUCUUUCCUCACUCAGGAAUGCAGGUAGCGAAGCUAGACCGCUAAGAAGCCUUGAGCUCUUUCGUCUGUGGAAGGGCUAUCUACUUUUUUUCUUAUGUCCCAAGGGAAUUCGAGAAUAUUUGAUAGUGUGGUUGUGGUUGUUUUUUAAAUAAUUUUUUAUGCCGAAAUACAUGUCAAUAAUAUUUUUUUAAUUUUUAAAAAUUAUUUUUAACAUCAGCACAUCAAAACAUAUAAAACAUAUUAAAUUUUAACAAAAAAAAUUAAAUUUUUAAAAAAUAUGGUUUGCACUGCUUUCCCAAACCUAUUCGAUCAAUAAAGGGUGUUAGUAUUUUUUACAUAUAAUAUUUAUUUUGUUUUUUAUUUUAAUAUAUUUUUAAAUAAACAAAAAUUACUAUUACACUAUGUCUCUUCUAAGUCAAGCCGCCUUUUGAAUAUGGAAACGUAAGUACAUUUUUUUAUUAGAAAAUCUCAUUAAAAAAUCCCGAAAACUGUGAGGUUAAUAUCACUUAGGUACUCGUGUCCUUUUAAUUUCAAGAAAUAUCAUGGCAAAUUAAUUUCAAUAAAUUGCAUGGGAAAUAGAGUGGAUGUGCGACCUUAACUUGAUAGCUAACCUAUUAAAGUCAGCUAGAUUCCAUCUUCACAGUCUAAUUCUGCGGGGCCCACUUGUGGAAUUUACUUGCACUUGCCGUGUGGCAGAGAUUUGUGUACUAGCAGCUGUCUGCCGAAAUCAUACGCUGGUGAAACAUUCAGCAAUCUCACGCAUGACACAAACCCCUUUUAAAUUAAAUCAAAAUUAAUAUUUAAAAAAAAAAAAGAAGUAAAGGGGGGAGGGAGAUUAUUUUAGCCCAAAGGAACAAUCGUUACUUGGCCAUUGAACCUUUGCUAAUUUCUCACAAUCAACAAAAAUGAAUAGAUUUUAAAAAAAAUUAAGAAACAAUCUAAUCUAUAAUAGGGUGUUUUUAUUAGGGGUGUGCAAAAAAACCAAAAAACCGAGUAAACCGAGAAAACCGACGAAAAAUUAACCGAAAAAACCGAACCAAGAAAAAAAACCGAUUAAACCGAUAAGAAUAUUUAGAAAAAAUUUCGGUUCGGUUCGGUUCGGUUUUCGGUUUUGUAAUGCAGAAACCGGUUAACCCGGACCGAACCGAACCGGUUCAAAAAAAGGUCCCUAACCACCACUAGUAUAAAUAGAAACUUUUCCCCUCUUGCCUAACCCUAACAAACUAAAGAGCACCUGCCGUCCCACCCCCUCUCCCUCUCCCUCUCCCUCUCUGCUAACCCUAACCAGAGCACCCGCCAUCCCACCCCCUCUCCCUCUCCCUCUCUGCUAACCCUAACCAGAGCACCCACCCCAGUACUAGAGGCUCUCCCUCUCGCCUCUCCAAAAUAUUUUAGCCUAUCAGACAAGUUCUUGAGAGAACUCAGACAAGUUCUUUCGUUUAGUACGAGUACAUCACAGAAGCAUCAAUGGGUAAGCAUCAAAUUCCUCUCCUCUCCUUUUGUUUUUGGGUGAUGGGUUUUUGUUGAUGAGGUGAUUAGUCGUGUUUUAUUUCAGUUUUCAAGGAUUUUUGAUGUGGGAUCUGUGUGUUUCUUAUUUACCUUGUCAUUGGUCAUGGUUCUUCUUCAAGAAACCAACUUCUGGUUUUAUUGGCUGGUUUUGUUCUCAUAGUUUUUUUUUUGCCUUUUCCUCUUCAAAAUUUUUAAUUUCUACAGAGAGGUCAACGUGAGCUUUUCAAAUGACAUGGAUGAUGAAUAUGAGAAACUCUUUAGGAGAUUGAAUCCACCCAGGUAUGUAUUAUGCAGAUUCGUCAUCUUCUUUUUUUAAUUUUCUAAGUGAAAGUGACCUUAAAUUUUUCUCAUCAAGGUGUUAUUUAAAAUAACUUUGGUGUGUACACAUUCUAAUUUUCUUGAUUAUCCCGAUGUGCUCUGUAUAUAAUUCCUUUUGGUGUCUUGCAGGUUUUGUUAUUGAUGCAGAACCUUACUGUUAACUUGUCUAGCCCUGAUUUUGAGCCAUAUAUAAGUGUUAAUGUUUUGUAAGUAUGUUCAUAGCAGCUCUUACCAGCAUGCAUGUAUAUUGCCACUUAUUUUGGCUUAUUGAAAGAAUUCGUAAAUGUUAUGAUAUAUUGCAACCAUAAUCUGAGUAUUAUGGCAAAGCUGAGGUUUCAUUCAAUGCUAAAGUUUCAACAUGUUAGAUUUUGAAGUGAAAACAGAUUUACAUCCAUUUUGUUCAGUUUUUUUUCUCUUCUUUUUUUUAUGUCAGGGUUGUGAUUGAUAAUGAAGCUUGCAAGAAUGCUAUUGUCAUAAGGGUAAGAGUUUUGGUAUUUUUUUUUUUUUGAUGGGUGUGUGCUCUUCAGUCUUGCCCAUCAUUCUUGUUGUUUUUUGGGUACUAAAUAUUUCAUUGUGUUACAGGUUGAUAGUGCUAACAAACAUGGAAUACUUCUUGAAGUUGAUAGUGCUAACAAAAUGUGUUUAGGGAUAACCGCUUUUGCAAUUGAUUUUUUGGCUCAUGGAUUUAUGGAUUCUUUUGUAGGAAUAUUAUAUCAAGCAUAUUGAUGGGUCCCCUGUAAAAUUAGAGGCUGAGAGACAAAGGAUUAUACAAUGUCUUGAAGCAGCCAUUGAAAGAAGAGUAUCCGAGGUGAGUGAACUAUGGUACCCUCAAAUCUGAGAUCGUUCUUAAGGUUUACUCAUAAAACUCUCCUUGUUUUUACCAAAAUCAUGCAUCCAGCCACUAUAGUUUCAAGCUGUUCUGUAUUCCUUUCCUUGCUAUCAAAAUGUAGAUCUGUCAUAUAAUUGUAUUGAUUAUGUUGUUACUUGGGCAAUGGUGAGUUGGGUGAAGUUUAUAUACGGAAGAGGUGAUUUUAUUGCAAUGAUAAUGAUUGCAUGUUAAGAUAUGACUGGUGUCACUCACCAGUUAAAACACUCGUUAUUUUAUAUUUCAUGCCUUAUGUUUAGUUUCUUCUUUUUUGGUGGUAGAUGAUGAUGCAUUGAUUUUGUUAGAAAUUCACUCGCAUGCUUGUGCAGAAUGCUCCAUUCAAAGGACAGCUUGCUAUUGGGUUUUCUUGGUGUACUAAUAUACAACUUGUUGGGAACAACUGAUAGCAUGAUAGCAAAGGUUUAUUAGAUAUCUUUUGUGUUUUAUAAUAAUGGUAUUUGUUGUUUUUUCUUUAAGCCCUUUGAAGGCAAUGGUUUGUAAUUUGAAUUUUAACUUAUUAGUGUGUGAUUGUGAGUGUGUUAUUUAAAUUUUUUGGAAGCAGAAAAAUAUUAGGAAGGUAAAAAAUAUAUUGAACAUAAGAUUGACAUUAAUAAUUUCAUAUAAAUGAAUAUUCAAUGGCCAAAAAACUUAAUAAACAUAAGAGUGACAAUAAUAAUUUAAUACAAAUGAAUAUUUAGAGGUAAAAAAAUUAAAUAUACUUUUGGAUCUUCAAAGAAAAUUAGACAAUAUCAACAUUAAUUGCAAGCCCAUCAAAAAUCCAUUAAAAGCCCAUAAUAAAGCCCAUUAUGAAGCCCAAAAAAAUGCAUAUAGGUUUUUUCGGUUUUGGGCAUAAAAAACCGAACCGAAACCGAACCGAAACCGGUCGGUUUGGGCCGGUUUCGGUUCGGUUUCGGGUCUGUUUUUUUUUUUUUUUCGGUUUGGUUGUUUUUUAUGGGUAAAAACCGAACCGAACCGAAAAUGAUCACCCCUAGUUUUUAUAGAAAAUAUGGUAAAAAGAUAGUAAUGUGAAAAAUAAAAAUUUUCUUUUUAAAUAAAAAGUUAUCAUUUCAACUUACUUUUACUUUUCAUACUUUUUUAUUUAAUCUUUUUAUAAAUGACAAAACUAAAUUUUUCAAACUAAAUUCAUUUUAAGAUAUUUUUUUAGAUGAUAUCACAAAAACCCAAAUGAAAACGACACAAAACAAACUAUCAAGUCCAUUUACCAAUAAUCACAAUAUAAAAUGCUAAAAUUGAAAAAAAAUUAUAGCCAUAAUAAAAAAGAAAAUUAAGAAGAAUAUAAAAUAAAAACAUUGUUUGGAUCCACAAUGUUUUCAUUCAAAGACCAUAGUAAAAGACCGGGGCUUUUGACAGAGUGAAUUGAAGCAGUGACGUUAAAAUUAAGCAAAUAUCAGUUAUGAAUAAUUAACGAAGCAGCGAUGGUGGAGUCAAUCUGCAUGGAUUAAGCUCGAUGGUAAACAUAUCUUCGAUUCUUGAGGUUUGCCAAAUCCCAACUUGCUGAUAUUUAGCAGUGCAUCAUUCAGAAUCUCACCAGCCUGAUAAGCUAAAACCAAGCAACGAGUUCAAAGAUCUCGUUAGACUAAUAAACAAAUAGCUUCGACUGGACGGGUUUCUUACAAGAAUCAACCGAAGCAUAAAUCCGAGGUUACCUACUUAAUUUGAAGAGACGGUUGCGUUUCACGUUCAGGGGCUCUGCUUGGUUUUAAUUAAUAAAAAUUGUAGAUGAACUAAUCGAAAUAUUAUCUUAAGCUUUUUUUUGUGAAAAAAAAAACAUUUGUACAGGUAUUAAUUCUACAAAAGUAUACAGUUCAGGAACUCCGAUGAUUUUUAAUCAAUUCAUUAAAAAAAAAAAAAAGAAGAAGAAGCUCCAGCCGCAAUCCAGCAAACAUGAAACAUGAACUAUACAAGGCAACAAACAGAUCCUUUUUUCUUUUAUAUAUAUAUAUAUAUAUCUUCUUUUACAAUCGAUACAGAAAUUCUGAUCUAGUUGAUCAUUUUGAAACCAAUAAAUGAAACUGAUUAAAAAAAAAACAGAAAAAGAAACCAAUUAAUAAUGAAUAUCCUCUUGAAGAGAAGAGAAAAACAAACAAAGAAAGUAAAGAUUCUUAUGAACAGCACAACAAAUUAAGGGGGCAUGCACACACAAUUUCACAGAAAUAUAAAACAAUCCAAGGAAAUGAGAGGAUUGUCGAUGUCUUCCAUGGGAAUAGAGUCACUAUCUUGUUGAGCUAGGGCUUCUUUCACUGCAUCUUCAUCUAUCUUAGAGCUAAUACGAUGAGUGCAAGUCUCUCUAUUCCUCAGACAAGAACUCAAUUAGUCUGGGUAUUUCAUUCUCACGGAUGUUUCUGUGAUAUUAAUCUUCUGUCAACAUGCUUCAAAAUUAUAAUUAAUUUCUCCCGAAAAUUUAAAUGCGUUUAAGUCCCCUCUCUUUGCAAACCUCGUAAAGAUUUUCUUGUCCCUUGCUUUGAAUUCGAUUAAUACAAGACGUCGACAAGGGAGAUAUAACCAAUUUCAAACCCGUUUCAUAAUUAGCAAGCCUUAAUCAAAGGCUUAGAAUUCUCCAUUGCAUAGAUUUCAGAAAGAGCAAACGUGGUUUUAAUUUUAUAUAAUCUAUAAUCCUCACCAGGAACUAAAAUUAGCUUUUAAAAGUUCAUGCAUGGCAAAAACCUGAGGUGUCAAAAAUAAUUGCCCCACCGUAGCAAUUUCAACAUUGUUUCAUUCUUUUACUAUAUAAAAAUUAGUUUGAGAUGUUGUAUAUUUUUAUUAACACAUAUGAUAUUUAUUAUAGUUUAUUAUAAAUAAGUAUUGAUCUUUUUUAUUCACAUUUAUAUUUUUUACUCGAUGUCAAAAAACAUGUUAAUAACACCUACACAUUAAUUUUUUUAUACUAGAAAAGAAAAUUAUUUGACAUAUAGCGAGACGAGUUAAAUAAACAUGUUAAAACUUUAUUUUUUAUAUUUAUUAGCAUUUAUAGUUCUUAAUUUAUUUAAUUAAGUGAAUGUAUAGGGCUUUUUUUUAAUUUAUAAUUAGGAUAAAAAAACAAAAUUUAAAAGCUUGUAAAUUUAUUUUUUUUGCAAAAAGUAUAUACACAAGAGGAAUUGGGUUUUAACAAGAGCAGUGGUGGGGGUACCCUUCUCUGCCUAUUUGAUUGUGAUUGCUGCUUUUGAUGAUUCCUGCUGAUGGGUGUAUUUAUUAUAUCUUCGAUAUGCCUCUAAUUUGAUCCAUUAGCAAUCCCUGGACUCCUGAGAUUUAAUUGGUGAUUUCAUUAGCUGAGAAAUGCAUUACUUAAAAGACAUUAAUUUUAUGUUUUGGUCAAAAUAAAAGUCCAAAUAUCUCUACUGCCUUGAUUUCUAAAUACCUCAACAAUUUCAGUAUCAAACUGAAUUUGAUAUACAGUUUUGUAGCUUAAGAUUACAUUAAAAAAAAAAGUUCAAUAAUUUCUCAAUAGAGGUAUGAUAAUGGAUAUUCAGAAAUUGAGUUUAUGCUUUAUUCAUACUUCAUCUAUUACUUAUUGAGUUAUGCAUCAGGUUUAAAGUAUUCAUUCCGAUACGCAUUAUCUAAAUACUAAGAGUAAUAUAUAUAGUUGAUGCAUGCAUAUUAAAUGAUAAGAUAACAAAUAAAACUUUUAAAAACAACACCUAUUAUGAAGUAUUUUCUAAAUCAUGCCGUCUAAUUUUGAAUAUGAAAAUUUCAACACAUUCUUUCCUCUAAAAAUCUCAUUAAAAAAUCCCCAAACUAUAAGGAUAAUUUCACUUAGAUCCUCGUGUCUUCUUAAUUUCAAGAAAUAUUAUGGCAAAAUAAUUUUAAAAAAUUGCUUGGCAAAUAGAGUGGAUGUGUGACCUUGACUUGAUAGGUAACCUCUUAAAAUUAGUUAGAUUUCACUUUCACAGUAUAAUGCUAUGAAAUAUAUUCUAAGUCAAACUGCCUAAUUUUGAAUAUGAAAAUGUCAGUAUAUUUUUUUCUUGAAAAAUCUCAUUAAAAAAUCUCCAAACUAUAAGGUUAAUUUCACUUAGGUUCUCGUGUCUUUUUAAUUUCAAGAAAUAUCAUGGCAAAUUAAUUUCAAGAAAUUACAUGGCAAAUAGAGUGGAUAUGCGACCUUGACUUGAUAGGUAACCUCUUAAAAUCAGCUAAAUUCCACUUUCACGGUCUAAUGCUAUGAAAUAUCUUCUAAGUCAAGCCGUCUAAUUUUGAAUAUGGAAAUGUCAGUAUAUUUUUUCCUUGAAAAAUCUCAUUAAAAAAUCUCCAAACUAUGAGGUUAAUUUCACUUAGGUCCUCAUGUCUUCUUAAUUUCAAGAAAUUGCAUGGCAAAUAGAGUGGAUGUGCGACCUUAACUUGAUAGGUAACCUCUUAAAAUCAGCUAGAUUCCACUUUCACAGUCUAAUGCUAUGAAAUAUCUUCUAAGUCAAGCCGUCUAAUUUUGAAUAUGGAAAUGUCAAUAUAUUUUUUCUUUGAAAAAUCUCAUUAAAAAAUCUCCAAACCGUGAGGUUAAUUUCACUUAGGUCCUCGUGUCUUCUUAAUUUCAAGAAAUAUCAUGGCAAAUUAAUUUCAAGAAAUUGCAUGGCAAAUAGAGUGGAUGUUCGAUCUUGACUUGAUAGGUAACCUCUUAAAGUCAGCUAGAUUCCACCUUCACAGUCUAAGUCUAAUGCUAUGAAGUAUUUUCUAAGUUAAGCCGUCUAAUUUUGAAUAUGGAAAUAUGAGUAUAUUUUUUUCUUGAAAAAUCUCUUAAAAAAUCUCCAAAUUGUGAGGUUAAUUUCACUUAGGUCAUGGCAAAUUAAUUUCAAGAAAUUACAUGGCAAAUAAAGUGGAUGUGCAACCUUGACUUGAUAGAUAACCUUUUAAAGUCAACUAAAUUUCACUUUUACAGUCUAAUGCUAUGAAGUAUCUUCUAAGUCAAAUCACCUAAUUUUAAAUAUAAAAAUAUCAAAAUAUUUUUUCCUUGAAAAAUCUCAAUAAAAAAUCUUCAAACUAUGAGGUUAAUUUCACUUACUUCCUCGUGUAUUUUUACUUUCAAGAAAUAUCGUGGUAAAUUAGUUUAAAGAAAUUGCAUGGCAAAUAGAGUGAAUGUGCACCCUUGUUGACUUGAUAGGUAACCUAUUAAAGUCAGCUAGAUUUCACUUUCACAGUCUAAUAUUGCGGGGACCACUUGUGAAAUUUACUUGCACUUGCCAUGUGGCAGAGGUUUGUGUACUAGUAGCUGCCUGCCGAAAAUCAUCCGCUGGUGAGACAACGAAUUACCUCACGCAUUACACAAACCCUUUUAAAUCAAAAUCAAAAUUAAUAUUAAAAAAAAAAAGGUAAAGGGCGAAGGCAGGUUGUUUUAGCCCAAAGGAACCAUUGUUACUUGGCCAUUGAUGAUUGAACCUUUACGGAUUUCUUUUUUUGUGGUUGUCUAAAUGUCGGGGCGACAAUAAAAAUUUCCUUCCCAGAGACAUAUAAUCGAAGUCCUUGUCAAUGAGCAUGGGUAACUCAUAGAUUUUACAAGGGAAGUGAAGCUCAUGGCCGCGAAACGUUAAUAUGCUGAAGUUAUUAGCCAUCGUUUUUUUUCUGUUUCAGGUAAUAUCUAAUGAAGAAAGAGUAUGUUGGAAAAACGAGUCACUAUUGGAUUACUAACAGCUUCUAAGCUUACAUGUGUUCUCAAGAAGAAAGGAAUACGAUAGCGUGUUGCCUGUUUAUGAUAUGCUUUUCAGUGGUCAAAUGGCAUACACCAGAAUGUUUGUCCAGCAAUUGUUUUGCUUUCAGAAGGAGAUCACCUGGAAUAUUACAUUGCAAAAUGGAGAUACGAUAAAGAGUUUCAAUGCGGAUUGAAUAUUGGACAUACUGUCAGAAAUUCUUCGUCUUUUAAAAUUACAGGACCACUAUAACAAAAACAGAACUGGACUGAAAUAUUGAAAAGAAAAGCAUUGCCAUGGCGCAAGCUAUUAUUCAAAGCAAACUAUCAAGCGAAGCUGUGACACUAGAAUAAAAUGUUCAUCUGCCACCAUCCAGUGAUUGCAUUAAAUAAUUCUGUAAACUGUGAUAUCCAGCACUUGUACCAGCCAUUUCCUCAAAACGAGCAGUUUCCACUGAUUUACCAAGCAAGUACUCUGUCUCUUCUACAUUUGAUUCGUCAUUAGUCCAAGGAUGUUUUGCAGAUGUUCUUAGCCCCUCUAAUUCCAUUGCUACAUUCUUCAUGUUGGGUCUUCCCUCUCCUUUUACUCUUAAGCACUUCUUUGCAAUGUUGGCAACUCCCUUCAGCUGCCUAAUAUUAUCCUGCUUCACCAUGCUAUCCUGAAGAAUAUGGACCAGGCGAUCUUUUUUCAGUGCACAAAGAAAAUACGCCGAUAAAUUCCUCUCCCCUCAGGCUUAUCGAAGGAAAUUGCCUUCAUCCCAGUUAGUAGUUCCACAAGAACCACUCCAAAACUGUAAACAUCACUUUUGUCCGUCAGUUGGCUUGUGUGCAAGUACUCAGGGUCUAAGUAUCCUAGAGUGCCUUGCACCAUUGUUGACAAUUCAACUUGAUCCAACGGAAUUAACCUAGAAGUGCCAAAAUCUGACACUUUUGCCGUGUAACUGUUGUCCAGGAGUAUGUUUGUAGACUUGACAUCCCUAUGAAUGAUUGGCACAGAAGCUGCGGAAUGCAAAUAUGAUAGAACACCUGCAGUUUCAGAAGCUAUCUUUAAACGGAUUUCCCAGGUGAAGGCCGACACCUUACUCUUGUCGUGAAUGUGGUCAUAAAGGGUGCCAUUUGCAACAUAUUCAUAAACUAGUAAUGGGACUUCUGUCUCCAAGCAACAUCCUAGAAGCUUCACCACAUUCCUGUGAUUGAUUUGGUAAAGCACAACCACCUCAUUGAUAAACUGCUCGAUUUGGCUAUGAUCGAUUGUUUUGGACUUCUUGAUUGCAACAGUUCUUCCAUCUGUUAAAGUUCCCUUGUAAACUGUACCAAAACCUCCACGGCCAAGAAUUCUACUUUCAUGGUACUUGUCUGUGGCUUUCUCGAGUUCUGCAGCUGAAAAGAUUUUUGCCGUUUCUGUAACGGGUCCUUCCCUUCUUGAUAGCUGCUGCUCCAGCAUUAGACCACCAUUUUGCCUAAAGAACUUCUCUUUGAGCUUCAUUAGCUUCCAUUUAUUGUAUCCCCAGUACAGCCAAGUAAUUCCCAUCAACAAAGAUGUCAGUCCCACUGCAAUUCCUACAUGUACAAGGAUGUUGAAACAUUUAUUUGUAAUUAAUUAUGUACAUUGCAGAUAUGAAAAUUCCAUUAAGUAUACCCGAAUGGGGUUGAGAUCAUAGGGGGGAUUGUUGCAAUUUUUUGCUUCUGUUUAGCGAGUAAACCUUUCGAUUUAAUAAGAAAUAUUUGAAAUCAUGUAUAAAAGGUGAAGAGAGAAAAUUUCCCAUCAAGAAGUUCCGGUCGAAAUGAUCCCGCGGCAAUAUAGAAUAAAUUAUAAACGAGUACAUUUGUAGUGGAUUUGACUUUGAAACGUUGUGGGCUUUGAAGUUCCAGAGUUUAUAUGGAUCAAAUUAGAUUCCUCUCAGUUUUGUUUUCUGAAAUACCAAGGGCUGCAAAUUUGAGAUGAAAUAAAUCUAGAAUGGUGUCUGGAUAUUUCAAGUCACUUUUGCAUCGCCAGCUACUUCAAAUUUUAUUAAUAAAAUAAAUUCUAGCCAAAGCUCUGACAUCCGGCCAAAGCAUUUAUCACCAUACUUCUAAACAACUGCAUGGAUUUCAGUUUAUGCUUUGAAAAUGUAAGAAUCCUGAAAAGAAAAUUAACAAAAAUCUACACUCGAUUCCUGCUACAAGAGGCCAGUAAGAGUAUUAAACUCAGGUCUCUGAUGGAGGGAACCAAGUAUUAGGAUGAACUAGAAGUAGGGACUGUGAUAUAGUUUUAAUAAUACUGCCUAUCACGGCCUCAUCUAAAAAUGAGAACUAAAAAUUGGCACAUGUAUAUAUCCUAUCCAAAUUAAAAUGAGAAACCAAAAAAACAAACAGUUACCUUUAAUGGCACUUGAAAGAUAUAUACACAAUAGUAUGUGCAUGAAUAUCGGGAUUGAAAAUGAAGAGGAUGAUAUACGAACUUACCGACAGCGACCUGAAUCACUGAUGAUCGAUUGCGGAUGCAGCGUUCUCCAUCUAUUCUCCCAUCUCCAUGGUACCCCUUGGGGCAAGAACAUGUAUAAUUCCCUUCGGUGUCGAUGCAAUUGUGGCUGCAAUUGCGGGCUACUUUUGGAUCUGAGCAUUCAUUAAUGUCUGCAGAAGCAUCAUAAAGAGAAGCCUUUAUGUAAAACUAUAGUAAAUUCUCAUAAUUUCAAGUAAUCCAAUCUCGAAAAAUCAGAUUAGAGAUCUCCUCGAAAUCAAUUACAAAUAAUUUUACUUUCUCUUUAUGUAAGUAAAAAAUUAUAAAAAACAGGAAUAAAAUUAAGAAAAAGAAUGCAUACUUCGGCAACCAUUUGGGAGGUAUGGAUUUCCUUGAAAGCCAUCUAAGCAUUUGCAAAUGUACCCAGACCCAUUUUCAGGGUCAUGACAUUUGCUCUGUCCUUGACAUGCAUUAGACAUCUUGUUCUUUUCCAAGGUUUCGCAGUUAUUGUGCCCAAUACUCCAAUCCACUAUAAUAGGAACCUCGCUUACUUCCUUCAAAUCCGACAGGUUACUUGGAAAAAAGCUGAACUGCUUUUCUUCAAUAAUGAAGGCAAAGCUGCAAGGAUUGAAUUCCCAGAUUCCCGUAUGAUUAGUGUAACUAGACAAGCUCACUUCGAAGUACUUAAUUCCUUUGGCAAUGGAGGUUUGGCAGCAACCGAUUCCGGAGCAUGUGUUUGGUACAUAUUUUUCGUUGCUACAUUUGGAAAUGCAUCCUACCACGUAUGUAUCAUUCUUGUCUUCUCGGAAACCUUGCAGUUCAGCGUAAGUAUCACAGCCGAUAGCGACGAACAUAUUGUCAGUGUCAGAAAAAACGUACGGACCUUGGGGGGGUAGGUUUAUCCAGGGUGUGUUGCUCUCUGUUGGUGCACCUGCCCGAUUAUAGCAAUCCUUAGCUAUAUAUUGCGUGAGGCGAAGCUUCCCAUCAAGGGUUAUUUCUGUGAAAUUUAAGUCACUUUUUCCUAUAAACGCUUGUGGAGGGUUGAAAGAAUGGUUGCAAGUUAUGAGGAACUUAGAGUCGUAGUAGCAAUCUUCUCCCGUGCCAAAUGGAUAUGGGAUACUAACAUUCCCACAUCUAUCUUGGCAUCCAGGCUUCGCUAUAGGAAGCUCUGUUGCUGCUGUAACUGCUGCUAACAACAGCACUCCUGUUAUUGUGAACUGUAAGGCCAUUCCUCGAAUUCUCAUGACAGCUACUUUUCUGUUUAAUUAGAAUGGAGUCGGGUGGUGCAAAAGUCACUGUGGCAGCUAGCCUUUUUUAUAAAGCAAAUUACCCCGAUAUUGGUCGACGGAAGACCAAAUUAUGAGGCUUGAAUGCCAGUUGGGAUAUACGUGACUGAAUAUCUAAAAGAGCGUGUGGUAGAGGACUUGCAAGCAAGAACUUACUAGAAUCGAAGCCUUUUUACUCGACUAAGUCAAGCCUCCUCAUUUUGAAUAUGGAAGUGUCAGUACAUUUUUUCCUUGAGAAAUCUCAUUAUAAAAUUCCCAAACUUUGAGGUCAAUUUCAAUUAGGUCCUCGAUUUUUCUUAUCUCAAUUAGAACCUCGACGUAGGAAAGAAUUCUCUGCCAGAUACAUCAUUUGAUCAUAGUCAGCAAAUUUACUUGCACUUGCUACGUGACAGGGGUUUGUGUAAUGGUAGCCGUCUGCCGUAAAUCAAACGGCGAGGCAAUUGAUUUCAAGAAAUUGCAUGGCAAAUAGAGUGGAUGUGCGACCUUCACUUGAGAGGUAACCUUUUAAAGUCAGCUAGAUUCCACCUUCACAGUCUAAUCCUGCGGGUCCACUUGUGGAGUUUACUUGCACUAGCCGUGUGGCAGAGGUUUGUGUACUAGUAGCUGUCUGCCGUUAAUCAAACGCUGGUGAAACAACGAAUUAUCUCACGCAUGACACAAACCCCUUUUAAAUCAAAAUCAAAAUUAUUUCAAAAAAAAAAAACUAAAGGGAGAAGGGAGGUUAUUUUGGCCCAAAGGAACAAUUGUUAAUUAGCUAUUGAACCUUUGUUAAUUUCUCACAAACAAAAAUUCUUGCAGAGGAACAAUCUAUAGCAGGGUGUUUUUUAAGAGACUAGGUAACCUGAAGAUAGUAGUAAUGUAAAGAAAAUAAUUCUUUUUAAAUAAAAAGUUAUCAUUUCAAGUUUCAACUUACUUUUACUUUUCAUCCUCUUAUAUUUAACCAUUUUCUAAACAAUCAAACUAAAUUCUUCAUUAUAAAAUUAAAAACCAAUAAGAUAUUUUUUUUAACCAUGAAAACCGGAAAGAAAACAGUACGAAACAACCUAUCAAGUUCAUGUACUAGAUCUUCACCAACCGAAGCAUAAAUCCGAGGUUACCUGCUCAAUUUGAAGAGACGAUUGCGUUUCAUGUUCAGGGGCUCUGAUUAAUUAUAAAAUAAAAUAAAAAUUGUAGAUGAACUAAUCGAAAUAUUAUAUUAAGUUUUGUUUUGUGAAAAAAUGUCUAAUUAACGUUGCGAGGCUAAUCUCUCCCUAUUUCUCCAAUUGACAACAGUUCAAAAAAAUGAAUUGGCAAUAUAGCACUACAAAUCAACGGCGCAGGCCAUUUAAAGAACAAAAAAAAAAACAUUGAGUUCAUUGUAUAGGGAUAAUUAAUUCCACGAAAGUAUACAGUCCAGGAACUCCGAUGAUUUUUAACCAAUUCAUUAAAAUAAAAAAAUAAAUAAAAAGCUCCAGCCGCAAUCCAGCAAACAUGAAACAUCCAUUAUAUAAGGCAACAAACAGAUCCUUUUUUCUUUUAUAUAUAUAUCUUCUUUUACAAUCGAUACAGAAAUUCUGAUCUAGUUGAUCAUUUUGAAACCAAUAAAUGAAACUGAUUAAGAAAAAAACAGAAAAAGAAACCAAUUAAUAAUGAAUAUCCUCUUGAAGAGAAGAGAAAAACAAACAAAGAAACGAAAGAUUCUUAUGAACAGCACAACAAUUUAAGGAGGCAUGCACACACAAUUUCACAGAAAUAUAAAACAAUCCAAGGAAAUGAGAGGAUUGUCUAUGUCUUCCAUGGGAAUAGAGUCACUAUCUUGUUGAGCUAGUGCUUCUUUUACUGCAUCUUCAUCUAUUUUAGAGCUAAUACGAUGAAUG